UGGCGGCGUGGAUAAGGCAUGCAAGUCGAACGGGAUGGGGAUUCAAGCAAUUGUGUCCCCUGAGAGUGGCGAACGGGUGAGUAACACGUGGGUAACAUACCUCCGGGUGGGGGAUAACCCAGGGAAACCUGGGCUAAUACCGCAUACGGUCGGACUGCUCAUGGCAGAUCGAUCAAAGGUGGGGAUCCUUCGGGACCUGCCGCCGGGAGAUUGGCCCGCGGCCCAUUAGCUUGUUGGCGGGGUAACGGCCCACCAAGGCGACGAUGGGUAGCCGGCCUGAGAGGGUGUCCGGCCACACUGGGAUUGAGAUACGGCCCAGACUCCUUCGGGAGGCAGCAGUCGAGAAUCUUCCCCAAUGGACGAAAGUCUGAGGGAGCGACGCCGCGUGAGGGAUGAAGGCCCUUUGGGUUGUAAACCUCUGUUAGGGGGAAAGAACAGCAGUGGGAGCAAUAUGUCCAUUGCCUGACGUUACCCCCAGAGAAAGCUCCGGCCAACUCCGUGCCAGCAGCCGCGGUAAUACGGGGGGAGCAAGCGUUGUCCGGAAUCAUUGGGCGUAAAGGGCGUGUAGGCGGUUUGGCAAGUCGA
rnacentral:rRNA from 1 species